GACGAACGCUGGCGGCGUGCUUAACACAUGCAAGUCGAACGGAAAGGCCCUUCGGGGUACUCGAGUGGCGAACGGGUGAGUAACACGUGAGUAACCUGCCCCCUUCUUUGGGAUAACUGUCGGAAACGAUGGCUAAUACCGGAUAUACACCUGCGGUCGCAUGGUUGUUGGUGGAAAGUUUUUCGGUGGGGGAUGGGCUCGCGGCCUAUCAGCUUGUUGGUGGGGUGAUGGCCUACCAAGGCUUUGACGGGUAGCCGGCCUGAGAGGGCGACCGGCCACACUGGGACUGAGACACGGCCCAGACUCCUACGGGUGGCUG
rnacentral:rRNA from 1 species